rnacentral:rRNA from 1 species
UUCGAUUAAGCCAUGCGAGUCUAAAGGUUUCUUCGGAACCUUGGCGGACUGCUCAGUAACACGUGGAUAACCUACCCUUGGGACUGGAAUAACCCCGGGAAACUGGGGAUAAUACCGGAUAGAUCAGGGAUGCUGGAAUGCACCUUGGUCCAAAGCUCCGGCGCCCAAGGAUGGGUCUGCGGCCUAUCAGGUAGUAGUGGGUGUAACGUACCUACUAGCCAACGACGGGUACGGGUUGUGAGAGCAAGAGCCCGGAGAUGGAUUCUGAGACACGAAUCCAGGCCCUACGGGGUGCAGCAGGCGCGAAACCUUUACAAUGUGCGAAAGCAUGAUAAGGGAACUCCGAGUGCCAGCAUCUAAUGUUGGCUGUCCUUGUGCCUAAAACGCACAAGAUAGCAAGGGCCGGGUAAGACCGGUGCCAGCCGCCGCGGUAACACCGGCGGCCCGAGUGGUAGCCGCUAUUAUUGGGUCUAAAGGGUCCGUAGCCGGUUCGAUAAGUCCUCUGGGAAAUCUGGUUGCUUAACAAUCAGACUGCCAAGGGAUACUGUCGAACUUGAGACCGGGAGAGGUAAGAGGUACUUCAGGGGUAGGAGUGAAAUCUUGUAAUCCCUGGGGGACCAUCUGUGGCGAAGGCGUCUUACCAGAACGGGUCUGACGGUGAGGGACGAAAGCUGGGGGCGCAAACCGGAUUAGAUACCCGGGUAGUCCCAGCCGUAAACGAUGCUCGCUAUGUGUCAGGUACGGUGUGACCGUAUCUGGUGCCGUAGGGAAGCCGUGAAGCGAGCCACCUGGGAAGUACGGCCGCAAGGCUGAAACUUAAAGAAUUGGCGGGGGAGCACUACA